AGUGAACGCUGGCGGUAGGCCUAACACAUGCAAGUCGAACGGCAGCACAGUAAGAGCUUGCUCUUACGGGUGGCGAGUGGCGGACGGGUGAGGAAUACAUCGGAAUCUACUUUUUCGUGGGGGAUAACGUGGGAAAACUUCCGCUAAUACCCCAUACGCCCUACGGGUAAAACCAGGGGUUUUUGGACCUUUGCGCGAUUAAUUGACCGAUUGCGGUUUUGCCUGUUUGGGGGGGAAAGGCCCACCCAGGGGACGACCCGUGUCGGGUUGUGGGGGGUGAAAGGCCCACCGGAACUUGGACACGGGCCCGACUCCCACGGGGGGCAGGAGGGGGGGAUAUUGGACAAAGGGGGCAAACCUGAUCCAGCCAUACCGCGUGGGUGAAGAAGGCCUUCGGGUUGUAAAGCCCUUUUGUUGGGAAAGAAAAGCAGCAGGUUAAUACCCCGCUGUUCUGACGGUACCCAAAGAAUAAGCACCGGCUAACUUCGUG
rnacentral:rRNA from 1 species